CAAUAGCGUAUAUUUAAGUUGCUGCAGUUAAAAAGCUCGUAGUUGGAUUUCGGGUGGGAAUGGCCGGUCCGCCGUUUCGGUGUGCACUUGCUACGCCCACCUUGCUGCCGGGGACGUGCUCUUGAGUUCACGCUCGGGACACGGAGUCGGCGAGGUUACUUUGAGUAAAUUAGAGUGUUCAAAGCAGGCCUACGCUCUGAAUACAUUAGCAUGGAAUAACACGAUAGGACUCUGGCCUAUCUUGUUGGUCUGUAGGACCGGGGUAAUGAUUAAGAGGGACAGUCGGGGGCAUUCGUAUUUCAUUGUCAGAGGUGAAAUUCUUGGAUUUAUGAAAGACGAACUACUGCGAAAGCAUUUGCCAAGGAUGUUUUCAUUAA
rnacentral:rRNA from 1 species